AGCUCUGGCAGCUCCCCAAGAGGGUCGAA
rnacentral:sRNA from 1 species